UACGAAGGGGGCUAGCGUUGCUCGGAAUCACUGGGCGUAAAGGGUGCGUAGGCGGGUCUUUAAGUCAGGGGUGAAAUCCUGGAGCUCAACUCCAGAACUGCCUUUGAUACUGAAGAUCUUGAGUUCGGGAGAGGUGAGUGGAACUGCGAGUGUAGAGGUGAAAUUCGUAGAUAUUCGCAAGAACACCAGUGGCGAAGGCGGACUCACUGGCCCGAUACUGACGCUGAGGCACGAAAGCGUGGGAGCA
rnacentral:rRNA from 1 species